UACCACCCUUUAAUGUUUGAUGUUCUAACGUGGAUCCGUAAUCCGGGUUGCGGACAGUGUCUGGUGGGUAGUUUGACUGGGGCGGUCUCCUCCUAAAGAGUAACGGAGGAGCACGAAGGUUGGCUAAUCCUGGUCGGACAUCAGGAGGUUAGUGCAAUGGCAUAAGCCAGCUUGACUGCGAGCGUGACGGCGCGAGCAGGUGCGAAAGCAGGUCAUAGUGAUCCGGUGGUUCUGAAUGGAAGGGCCAUCGCUCAACGGAUAAAAGGUACUCCGGGGAUAACAGGCUGAUACCGCCCAAGAGUUCAUAUCGACGGCGGUGUUUGGCACCUCGAUGUCGGCUCAUCACAUCCUGGGGCUGAAGUAGGUCCCAAGGGUAUGGCUGUUCGCCAUUUAAAGUGGUACGCGAGCUGGGUUUAGAACGUCGUGAGACAGUUCGGUCCCUAUCUGCCGUGGGCGCUGGAGAACUGAGGGGGGCUGCUCCUAGUACGAGAGGACCGGAGUGGACGCAUCACUGGUGUUCGGGUUGUCAUGCCAAUGGCACUGCCCGGUAGCUAAAUGCGGAAGAGAUAAGUGCUGAAAGCAUCUAAGCACGAAACUUGCCCCGAGAUGAGUUCUCCCUGAGACUUAGAGUCUCCUGAAGGAACGUUGAAGACGACGACGUUGAUAGGCCGGGUGUGUAAGCGCAGCGAUGCGUUGAGCUAACCGGUACUAAUGAACCGUGAGGCUUAACCUUACAACGCCGAAG
rnacentral:rRNA from 2 species